GUCCUAGCAGUAAACGUUGGGCACUAGGUGUGGCGGACUCAUUGACGUCUGCCGUGCCGCAGCUAACGCAUUAAGUGCCCCGCCUGGGGAGUACGGUCGCAAGGCUAAAAACUCAAAGGAAUUGACGGGAGCCCCGCACAAGCGGCGGAGCAUGCGGCUUAAUUCGAAUGCAACCCGAAGAACCUUACCUGGGCUUGACAUCACGGGAAAUCUCACAGAGAUGUGAGGUCCGAAAGGGCCCGUGACAGGUGGUGCAUGGCUGUCGU
rnacentral:rRNA from 1 species